ensembl:lncRNA
GGAAAUAGAAAGACACUAUGGAUCAACCAGAAAUCUCUAGAGCUAACUCCAAAUAAACAGAUGACUUAAGAAUAGAGAUAAGUACUGAAAAAUUAACAGUAGCAGCUCCACCAACCAUUCUUUCAUCUUAACUUAUUUUUGUAAAAAAAAAUCUAAAUUUGAAAAUAAAAGAGAGAGGAGGAAGUCCACGAGAAGUAUGUUUUAGAGACCCGAAACCCUGCCUGACCAGUGUUGUUUUUGAUGGGGGUCAGCAGGUCUAUUUGUUAGGCACAAAUAACGGCUUUGAGAUCACAAGAGGAGUGGAUGCAGCAGAGGCAGUGAACACAGGAGUUGCACAGACAAGAACAAAGGAAGGCCAAGAAAAUGUGAAAAGAAGGAACCAGACUCAAGAACAAGGGAACAGAAUAUUCAGAGGCUGAGAUGAAGACUGACCAACUGUCUACAUGUGACCAGGAGACUGAAAAAUAGACAUGAGUGCUGGAAUAGGACACACUGUCUAAAACAGUACCAGUCAGCCUUAUAGAUAAUGGAAGUAGAUUUUCUGAUAAAUUUAUUACAAUUAUUGCUCAGGGAUUGGCACUGCAAAACUGCAUUCAGACUGUCUUCCUCUUUCAUCUGUCUAUCAAAAGCAUUGUUUCCAUAAAUCAGAUUCAAGAAAUACAUUACUAGUUCAUAGGGAUCCAUACGUGUGUGGUUCCACUGCAGUUGCAAUUCAAGAGUAAUUCAGUUUUUAAUUUUACAGGUUCUGUAAGAAAAAGCACAGUAGUGUAUAUGAACGUGUAUAUGCUGAACAAUCAUUUUGUUACGUCUCUGAGUCGUUGCCUAUACGCACAUGCAUACUACGUAUGACUCAAAAUGGAUCUCGGACAUAUGCUGUACAAACCAGAAAGUGCAGGCCCAAACUAGCCAGCACUUAUCAGUUACACAAUGCACUGAGUUAUUAUAUUGUUUGAUAAAUUGCAUUUGAGUGAAGGUAGCUGUUUGGUAUCAGUAAUGGCAACACUACUGACUCCUCUUGUAUCAUUACUACCUACAGAUACCUACUUAUGAAGGCAGAGCUUUUGUUGAAAUCUAGUGAGUGUUCAGGAUAGUCUCCUGUCUCUCUGGAUAGUCUCUUAUGUCUCACUGGACACCAAUACAACUCAUUUAUCCAGUUUAAGACUCUCUAGCAGGAGAUAAUAAUACAUAUAGUUUUCCUAGUUGCCAGCAGAAACAACCUUGGAGACUGCUUUCUGUGGAGAAAAGCAAAGCCCUUUCGAAAUUGCUGAAGAAGGAUUCCAGUUUUUGGAUAUAAAGUUUUGUGUGGAAUACAGGUAGACUAGUUCUCUGAAUGAGAUGUAUCUCAGAAAGUGCAGAGAUCACAUAAAUAUACACUCUCUGCAAAGACAUAGUACCUGCCAUAGAGCUCAUUUUAUUUUAUUUUUUUUACUUUCCUGGUGAUACUAUUAAAACUAGAAAGAUGUUUGAACAGCUUAAAGAGAUGCAAUGUUGACACUGCCAGGAGCUUGAGAAAUGAGCUCUCAGAGAUUCAGUUAUCUCAUGAAGAAGAUCCCCAGAAAGGGGAAGAUGAUAAAGGCAAAGCAUACAUAAUACAAUCUUGUGCCAUGAGUUCAUAAACUGAUGGGAGCAUGUAGAAAAGACUUUGCUAAUGGGUUACAUAGAGAAACUGAGGGAGCCAGGAUCUCCUGCGCAAGGUCACUGAGCAAAUGACCUUUCAGGGGCUUUGAAGACUUGGGAUGUGAGAACUUUGGUGGUACCCAAAGACACAGUGCAUUCCAGAUACAGAGCUGAAUAAAAGGCUUCCAGUCUCACUACUCAGGGAGCAACUCCAGCACCUACUUGUGCAGUAAUUUUUUGAAUGUUUAGCCACUGGAUAGAUGA